GAUGAACGCUGGCGGCGUGCCUAAUACAUGCAAGUCGAGCGAAUGGAUUAAGAGCUUGCUCUUAUGAAGUUAGCGGCGGACGGGUGAGUAACACGUGGGUAACCUGCCCAUAAGACUGGGAUAACUCCGGGAAACCGGGGCUAAUACCGGAUAACAUUUUGAACCGCAUGGUUCGAAAUUGAAAGGCGGCUUCGGCUGUCACUUAUGGAUGGACCCGCGUCGCAUUGGCUAGUUGGUGAGGUAACGGCUCACCAAGGCAACGAUGCGUAGCCGACCUGGGAGGGUGAUCGGCCACACUGGGACUGAGACACGGCCCAGACUCCUACGGGAGGCAGCAGUAGGGAAUCUUCCGCAAUGGACGAAAGUCUGACGGAGCAACGCCGCGUGAGUGAUGAAGGCUUUCGGGUCGUAAAACUCUGUUGUUAGGGAAGAACAAGUGCUAGUUGAAUAAGCUGGCACCUUGACGGUACCUAACCAGAAAGCCACGGCUAACUACGUGCCAGCAGCAGCCGCAG
rnacentral:rRNA from 1 species